rnacentral:rRNA from 1 species
CCUACGGGAGGCAGCAGUGAGGAAUAUUGGACAAUGGGCGCAAGCCUGAUCCAGCCAUGCCGCGUGCAGGAAGACGGUCCUAUGGAUUGUAAACUGCUUUUAUACAGGAAGAAACACCUCUACGUGUAGAGACUUGACGGUACUGUAUGAAUAAGCAUCGGCUAACUCCGUGCCAGCAGCCGCGGUAAUACGGAGGAUGCAAGCGUUAUCCGGAAUCAUUGGGUUUAAAGGGUCCGUAGGCGGUUUAAUAAGUCAGUGGUGAAAGCCCAUCGCUCAACGAUGGAACGGCCAUUGAUACUGUUAAACUUGAAUUAUUAGGAAGUAACUAGAAUAUGUAGUGUAGCGGUGAAAUGCUUAGAGAUUACAUGGAAUACCAAUUGCGAAGGCAGGUUACUACUAAUAUAUUGACGCUGAUGGACGAAAGCGUGGGGAGCGAACAGGAUUAGAUACCCUGGUAGUCCACGCCGUAAACGAUGGAUACUAGCUGUUCGGAGCAAUCUGAUGGCUAAGCGAAAGUGAUAAGUAUCCCACCUGGGGAGUACGUUCGCAAGAAGAGAAGUAAGUAAGUAGUAGACGAGAGAGAGCGACGACGACGACGACGGAGGAGGAG